CUACAGGCUUAACACAUGCAAGUCGAGGGGAAACGAUAGAGAAAGCUUGCUUUUUCUAGGCGUCGACCGGCGCACGGGUGAGUAACGCGUAUCCAACCUGCCCACCACUUGGGGAUAACCUUGCGAAAGUAAGACUAAUACCCAAUGACGUCCAUAGAAGACAUCUGAAAUGGAUUAAAGAUUUAUCGGUGAUGGAUGGGGAUGCGUCUGAUUAGCUUGUUGGCGGGGUAACGGCCCACCAAGGCGACGAUCAGUAGGGGUUCUGAGAGGAAGGUCCCCCACAUUGGAACUGAGACACGGUCCAAACUCCUACGGGAGGCAGCAGUGAGGAAUAUUGGUCAAUGGGCGAGAGCCUGAACCAGCCAAGUAGCGUGCAGGAUGACGGCCCUAUGGGUUGUAACUGCUUUUAUAAGGGAAUAAAGUGAGUCUCGUGAGACUUUUUGCAUGUACCUUAUGAAUAAGGACCGGCUAAUUCCGUGCCAGCAGCCGCGGUAAUACGGAAGGUCCGGGCGUUAUCCGGAUUUAUUGGGUUUAAAGGGAGCGUAGGCCGGAGAUUAAGCGUGUUGUGAAAUGUAGAUGCUCAACAUCUGCACUGCAGCGCGAACUGGUUUCCUUGAGUACGCACAAAGUGGGCGGAAUUCGUGGUGUAGCGGUGAAAUGCUUAGAUAUCACGAAGAACUCCGAUUGCGAAGGCAGCUCACUGGAGCGCAACUGACGCUGAAGCUCGAAAGUGCGGGUAUCGAACAGGAUUAGAUACCCUGGUAGUCCGCACGGUAAACGAUGGAUGCCCGCUGUUGGUCUGAAUAGGUCAGCGGCC
rnacentral:rRNA from 1 species